rnacentral:rRNA from 1 species
GGUAAUAGUACGGUCCCGAGCGUUUGCCGGUAUUUAGUUGGGACGUAAAGCGAGCGCAGGCGGUUUGAUAAGUUCNGAAGUUAAAGGCUGUGGCUCAACCAUUAGUCGUCGUUUAGGAAACUGUACUAAACUUGAGUGCAAGGAAGGGGAGAGUAGGUAACUUCCAUGUGUAGCGGUAGAAAUGCGUAGAUAUAUGGAGGAACACCGGUGGACGAAAGCGGCUCUCGUGGUCUAGUAACUGACGCUGGAGGCUACGAAGCGGUGGGGAGCGAACAGGAUUAGAUACCCUGGUAGUCCACGCCGUAAACGAUGAGUGCUAGGUGUUGGAUCCUUUCCGGGAUUCAGUGCCGCAGCUAACGCAUUAAGCACU